GGAUUAGAUACCCUGGUAGUCCACGCCGUAAACUAUGAUAACUCGUUGUUGGCGAUACACUGUCAGCGACCUAGCGAAAGCGUUAAGUUAUCCACCUGGGGAGUACGAUCGCAAGGUUGAAACUCAAAGGAAUUGACGGGGGCCCGCACAAGCGGAGGAAUAUGUGGUUUAAUUCGAUGAUACGCGAGGAACCUUACCUGGGCUUAAAUGUAGAGUGCAUGAGGUGGAAACACUUCUUUCCUUCGGGACUCUUUACAAGGUGCUGCAUGGUUGUCGUCAGCUCGUGUCG
rnacentral:rRNA from 1 species